rnacentral:rRNA from 1 species
CACGUAGGCGGACUGGAAAGUUGGAGGUGAAAUCCCAGGGCUCAACCUCGGAACCGCCUUCAAACUAUCAGUCUGGAGUUCGAGAGAGGUGAGUGGAAUUCCGAGUGUAGAGGUGAAAUUCGUAGAUAUUCGGAGGAACACCAGUGGCGAAGGCGGCUCACUGGCUCGAUACUGACGCUGAGGUGCGAAAGUGUGGGGAGCAAACG